rnacentral:rRNA from 1 species
GUUGGCUUAGAAGCAGCCAUCCUUUAAAGAAAGCGUAAUAGCUCACUGGUCGAGUCGUCCUGCGCGGAAGAUGUAACGGGGCUAAGCACAUAACCGAAGCUUGGGAUAUGCACUUGUGCAUAUGGUAGAGGAGCGUUCCGUAGGCCUGUGAAGGUGUCCUGUGAGGGAUGCUGGAGGUAUCGGAAGUGCGAAUGCUGACAUGAGUAGCGAUAAAACGGGUGAAAGUCCCGUUCGCCGGAAGCCCAAGGUUUCCUGCGCAACGUUCAUCGGCGCAGGGUGAGUCGGCCCCUAAGGCGAGGCUGAGAAGCGUAGCUGAUGGGGAAACAGGUUAAUAUUCCUGUACCGCUCUUCAAUGCGAUGGGGGGACGGAGAAAGGUAGGCCAGCCGGGUGUUGGACGUCCCGGUUUAAGCGUGUAGGCGUGCUCUCUAGGCAAAUCCGGAGGGCUUAGCUGAGGCGUGAUGACGAGGUCCCAUGUGGACUGAAGUGGUUGAUCCUAAGCUUCCAAG